rnacentral:rRNA from 1 species
UUUUACCCGCUGAAAACUAAGCAUAUCAAUAAGCGGAGGAAAAGAAACUAACAAGGAUUCCCCUAGUAACUGCGAGUGAAGCGGGAAAAGCUCAAAUUUGAAAUCUGGCAGCUCUUGGAACUGUCCGAAUUGUAAUCUAGAGAAGUGUUACCUGUGCUGGACCGUGUACAAGUCUUCUGGAAUGGAGCAUCACAGAGGGUGAGAAUCCCGUCUUUGACACGGACUGCCUGCAUGUUGUGGUGCGCUCUCGAAGAGUCGAGUUGUUUGGGAAUGCAGCUCAAAAUGGGUGGUAAAUGCCAUCUAAAGCUAAAUAUUGGCGAGAGACCGAUAGCGAACAAGUACCGUGAGGGAAAGAUGAAAAGAACUUUGGAAAGAGAGUUAAACAGUACGUGAAAUUGCUGAAAGGGAAACGCUUGAAGUCAGUCGCGUUGGCUAGAAAUCAGCCUUGCUUUUGCUUGGUGUACUUUCUGGUUGAUGGGUCAGCAUCAAUUUUGACCAUUGGAUAAAGUCAUCGGGAAUGUGGCAUCUUAGGAUGUGUUAUAGCCCAUUGUCGCAUACAGUGGUUGGGAUUGAGGAACUCAGCACGCCGCAAAGGCCGGGUUUUUUAAACCACGUUCGUGCUUAGGAUGCUGGCAUAAUGGCUUUAAUCGACCCGUCUUGAAACACGGACCAAGGAGUCUAACAUGCCUGCGAGUGUUUGGGUGGAAAACCCAUGCGCGCAAUGAAAGUGAAAGUUGAGAUCCUCUCCUUGGGGGGGAGCAUUGACGCCCGGACCAGACCUUUUGUGACGGAUCUGCGGUAGAGCAUGUAUGUUGGGACCCGAAAGAUGGUGAACUAUGCCUGAAUAGGGUGAAGCCAGAGGAAACUCUGGUGGAGGCUCGUAGCGAUUCUGACGUGCAAAUCGAUCGUCAAAUUUGGGUAUAGGGGCGAAAGACUAAUCGAACCCUUU